AUGAGGCAAGCUGAUCCUGAAAAGAAACGACCACACAGAUCAAAGGUUUAUUUAGCAACUCACAAGAAGAAGGACGAUGCUGAUGCUAAAAAUAAAGAUAGAAAUAAGCGCCUGGAUCGAUUGGAGAAUCUAAUAACCGAACAACCAGAGUUGGCACAAAAUUUGAAUGGAAGAGUCGCAUGGGAAGGUGAUGCCUUGCAGGAAGUGUUAGGGAAAGAAAAGAUUGGACAAGUGCAUGGCAUGGGUUUGCUUCCAACUCCUAAGCAAGUCUACGGUCGGACGCCACGGUAUCUAAAGAACAUCAAUAUGACUACAACUGAUGGAUCACUAUAUGAAGUUGAACAUGAUGUUUGGGAGGUAAUAGCAAAGAUGAAGGAGCAUAUAAAAAAGCAAGACCAGAUUAUUAAAGAUAUGAAUAACAAAGAAGGCUAUGUCAAUAAUGGCAUAGAAGAGGAAAACCUCCAAUCAAAUGAUAAUGGUAUUUCUCGGUCACCAGUACUGCUUGGUAAAACAAAGAGAAUCCAAUGCAAUGGACUCGUUGAGGCACGCUCGUCUAUGCAACAUGACAUUCCUGAGGAUAAUAAUUUAUCACGUUCGCAUGAAAAGGUUGGCGACCAUGAUGUCAACCAAUUACAAAUUCAACAAAAUUCAUCAUCACCACAAGACCUUGUUAUUGAUUCUGUGCUAGAGGUGAGGGAAACGAGGAAUAUUACGGGUGAAUCUGUUUCAAAACCGAACCAGCAAAGGACUAGAACUGAACACCCACACCGCUCAAAAAGAAGGCGUUCUUCUUCCAUCAAGGCUGCUUCCAAAGUAGUCUUAAAGACUUCAACAUAUCCCAACAAGCGGAAUGUUGCGUAUGGUACUAUUCGGAGUACUGAUCCAAGAACUAAGGCUGGUGGUAUUGAGUUAGGUGCUGAAUUUGCUCUUGUGCGCAUAGACGAACCUAUUCUUGAUAAUGAGGAGUUGGUAAGGGAAGUUUCUGAUUGCAAGACAAUUGGCGAGGCUUUCACUUCAGGAUACUUAAUUGCCUGGCCUUCAGCUUUUAUUCGAGAGAAGGAUGGUUGA
rnacentral:rRNA from 1 species